rnacentral:lncRNA from 10 species
GUGCCAAAAGUAUGGAGAGAAGAUGUCAGGAACGUGUGAGAACUCCCCCAGACGGUCUUUUGGAGUCACCCUGCCCUCCAGACAAUUUUGGUGCCGGCUGCCUCCAGGAACCUGACUCUCUCAGUCUCUUACUGUUUCGCUCCGUGGGUCAAGUCUCUGCAAAGCCUUCACGCUGAGCCUUGCCUUGCAGGCAGCCUUUGUGAGGCAGUCAUCAUGGCUCAGCUAACUGCAGCAGGAAGAGGCAGACAUGGAGCUAAAAGCACAGCAGCUGGGAUUCCAGGAAAGCAGGAAGUUCUGCAGUUAGCAUCAGGAACACAGUGAGAAGGCAAUCAUCUGUAAAGCAGGAAGAGAGCCUUCCCCAGGAGUUGAAUCUGCCAGCAUCUUGAUCUUGGACUUCCCAGCCUCCAGAACCACCAGAGAGAAAUGCCUGUUGUCUGAACCACCGUAUGUUACCCUGUUACAGCAGCCUGAGCUAAGAUGAUACUGGAGGCCCAGUUAAUCUACCUCAACAUGACCCUUUUGUAACACAGGCUGGACAAAGGCUGUGAAAACACUCAGUAUCUAGAGUUUUCCAAUGUGUGUGUCCUUCCCUAUACACUUCAUUUGCUUAUCCCCUUAUUCAUUCAACAAAGGAGUUCCUUUUCUUUUCUUUUCUUUCCUUCCUUCCUUCCUUUCUUUCUUUUGACAGGGUUUCACCAUGUUGGCCAGGCUGAGCUUAACU